rnacentral:rRNA from 1 species
GAUUAACGCUAGCGGCAGGCCUAAUACAUGCAAGUUGUACGGGAUUAUUGGUAGCAAUACCGGUAUGAGAGUAGCGCACGGGUGCGUAACACGUAUGCAACCUACCUUUAACUGGGGAAUAGCUCACCGAAAGGUGAAUUAACACCGCAUAAAAUCACAGAAGGACAUCCCUCAAUGAUUAAAUCUCCGGAGGUUAAAGAUGGGCAUGCGUCCGAUUAGCUAGUUGGC